UACGUAGGGAGCAAGCGUUAUCCGGAUUUAUUGGGUGUAAAGGGUGCGUAGACGGAGGAGCAAGUUGGUUGUGAAAUCCCUCGGCUCAACUGAGGAACUGCAACCAAGACUACUUUCCUUGAGUGCUGGAGGGGAAAGUGGAAUUCCUAGUGUAGCGGUGAAAUGCGUAGAUAUUAGGAGGAACACCAGUGGCGAAGGCGACUUUCUGGACAGUAACUGACGUUGAGGCACGAAAGUGUGGGGAGCAAAC
rnacentral:rRNA from 1 species